rnacentral:rRNA from 1 species
UCAAGCUAAUAAGAGCGCAAGGGGAAUGCCUUGGCAUCAGGAGCCGACGAAGGACGUGACAAGCUGCGAUAAGCCACGGGGAGGAGCAAAUAUCCGUUAUAUCCGUGGAUUUCCGAAUGGGGGAACCCGCUCAAGCAAUACUUGAGCAUCGUGCGUUGAAUCAAAUAGGCGUACGAAGGGAACGGCCUGAACUGAAACAUCUAAGUAGGGCCAGGAAAAGACAUCAACCGAGAUUCCGCUAGUAGUGGCGAGCGAACGCGGAGGAGGCCAAACCGGAGGAUUUUAUUCUCCGGGGUUGCGGACAGACAUCAUGACCAGAGGAAGUUAAGAGAACGGCGUGGGAAAGCCGGCCAUAGAAGGUGAGAGCCCUGUAUCUGAAAAUGAAGACUGGCAGUCUGGAUCCAGAGUACCGCGGGACACGUGAAACCCCGUGGGAAACCGGGUGGACCACCAUCCAAGCCUAAAUACUACCUGAUGACCGAUAGAGGAGCAGUACCGUGAGGGAAAGGUGAAAAGGACCCCGGGAGGGGAGUGAAAGAGAACCUGAAACCUUGUGCUUACAAGCAGUCAGAGCACGUUAAAGUGUGAUGGCGUACUUUUUGUAGAACGGUCCGGCGAGUUAUAGUAACGAGCAAGCUUAAGGUAUUCAGUACCGGAGGCGAAGCGAAAGCGAGUCUGAAUAGGGCGCAUGAAGUUCGUUGCCAUAGACCCGAAACCGGGUGACCUACGCAUGAGCAGGUUGAAGUGGGGGUGAAACCCCAUGGAGGACCGAACCAACCCCCGUUGCAAUGGUGGUGGAUGACUUGUGUGUAGCGGUGAAAUUCCAAUCGAACUCGGAGAUAGCUGGUUCUCCCCGAAAUAGCUUUAGGGCUAGCGUUAUUUUAGAUUACCGGAGGUAAAGCACUGAAUGGUCUAGGGGCCGCGAGGUUACCAAAGCCUAUCAAACUCUGAAUGCCGGAUAAUUGAUGAAUAGCAGUCAGACUGUGUGAGAUAAGUCUCAUAGUCAAAAGGGAAACAGCCCAGAUCUACAGCUAAGGUCCCAAAUGAACACUAAGUGGAAAAUGAUGUGAAACUGCGAAGACAACCAGGAUGUUGGCUUAGAAGCAGCCACUCAUUCAAAGAGUGCGUAAUAGCUCACUGGUCGAGUGGUUUUGCGCAGAAAAUGUAACGGGGCUAAGUGUUCAACCGAAGCUUAGGCAUUGCAGUAAUGCAUUGGGUAGGGGAGCGUCGUAUGCGGGGCGAAGUCAGAGCGGAAGCACUGGUGGACUGCAUACGAGUGAGAAUGCCGGAAUAAGUAGCGAGAAUUAUGUGAGAAUCAUAAUGGCCGAAAAUCUAAGGUUUCCUGGGGAAGGUUCGUCCGCCCAGGGUUAGUCGGGAGCUAAGCUCAGGCCGAAAGGCGUAGGCGAUGCACAUACGGUAGAAAUUCCGUAACCACCGAACAUUUAAGCUAGAGGGACGCUUUCUUUAAGGUUAUCCCGGGCGAUGGUUGCCCCGGGCGUAAGGGACCGAAAUAUAGUAGGGAAGUAACUGGCGAGAGAGACGAGAAAAGCUCUAGUGUAUACUAAGGUGCCCGUACCGCAAACCGACACAGGUAGAAGGGAUGAGUAUUCUAAGGCCAACGGGAGAAGGGUUGUUAAGGAACUCGGCAAAUUGGCCCCGUAACUUCGGGAUAAGGGGCGCCUGCGAGAGCAGGCCGCAGUGAAAAGGCCCAAGCGACUGUUUAGCAAAAACACAGCUCUCUGCUAAAUCGAAAGAUGACGUAUAGGGGGUGACGCCUGCCCGGUGCUGGAAGGUUAAGGGGAGUGCUUAGCGCAAGCGAAGGUGCGAACUUAAGCCCCAGUAAACGGCGGCCGUAACUAUAACGGUCCUAAGGUAGCGAAAUUCCUUGUCAGGUAAGUUCUGACCCGC